AGGAUGAACGCUAGCGGCAGGCCUAAUACAUGCAAGUCGAACGGGGCAGCAAUGCCUAGUGGCGCACGGGUGCGUAACGCGUAUGCAACCUACCUUUCAGUGGGGGAUAGCCCGGGGAAACCCGGAUUAAUACCGCAUAAGAAGAGUGACUGGCAUCAGUUGCUUUUGAAACAUUUAUGGCUGAAAGCUGGGCAUGCGUAAGAUUAGUUAGUUGGCGAGGUAGCAGCUCACCAAGACGAUGAUCUUUAGGGGUUCUGAGA
rnacentral:rRNA from 1 species